rnacentral:rRNA from 1 species
UACGUAAAAGACUAGUGUUAUUCAUCUUUAGUAGGUUUAAAGGGUACCUAGACGGUAUAAUUAGUCUUAAACAAGAAACGGUUAUGCUAGAGUUAUAUAUGAGAAGGGGAGUAUUUAUGGAGUAGAGUUGAAAUUCUUUGAUCCCAUAACGACUGGUAGCGGCGAAAGCAACCUUUUAUCUAAUAACUGACGUUGAGGGACGAAGGCUCGGUCACGAACAGG